UGUAGGGGCUUGGUUGGGCGCGAUUAGCAAGAAAUCCGGAGAAUCGGGCUUGGCUCGGUCCCGGCCGAGUCCAACUCGCUCACGGCGAGAGGAAGGAGAGAGCGCUGUCGGGUGGGGCCAGCGCGGCAGUGAGAUAGGAAGAGAGAGGGGAAACGCCGACGGGCGGGGCCCAAAUGUCAGCGAAAGAAAAAGAGGGGAGGAAUGCACGCUUGGGCUAGAAGAGAGAGCUGAGCCGCGGGGAAGGAGAAAGGGGAAGGGGGUGCACUGGGCCGGCCUUGGCUCAGUUCGGGCCGAGAUUCAGGAGGGAGGUGGGAGGUGAGGUCUUCUUUUUUUUCUUCUUUUAUUUCAAAACCUAUUUCAAAUCCAUUUUAAUACAAUUUUGAACUUUGCUCAAAGUCACACAGUACAAAAAUAUAAAUGCUCCAGCAUGAGUACACAUACAUGUUACUA
rnacentral:lncRNA from 1 species